UCCUGUCGGGGGUGGGGGAGUGACAGAGAGACAGAUUGAAAACAGUCUCCCCCUCCCUCUCGCUCUCUCUCUCUCUCUCUCUCUCUCUCUCCCUCUCUCUCUCUCACUCUCUCUCUCUCUCGCUCUAAGGAAAUGUCUCUUGCUCUUUUCCUUCCCUCUCUCCUGCAGACUCUCUCUCUCUCUCUGACUCAGUAUGUUGGUUUCCAUUCGUCGUGUGUUUAGAAUGAGACUGAAGAAGAGGAGUGAAGAAGAAGAAGAAGAAGAAGAAGAAGAAGAAGAAGAAGAAGAAGAAGAAGAUCAGCAGCAUAAACAGAAGGUAACUGAUCUGGCCUCUGAUUGACAGCUGUGAUUCAUCAGAUCUGAACCAAUCAAGAGACAGGAAACAACCUUCAUCAUGGAGGAGUGAGAGAGACGACCAGCGGCCAUGAUAUCUUCCAUCAGAAGCCUGAACCUGCUGCACCUCCUGCUGGGUGUGUUUCUGGUUCAUCCGGAAGGGGGCGUCAGUCUGGAGCUGCACCCAUCAGCCUCUGAAGUUCUGUUGGUCUCUAACUCCAACUUCACUGUGGUGUGCUCAGGGUGGAGUCAGGUUACAUGGCGGUUACCUCGGGACACUGUGGUAGACGGGGUCUUCGUGGAGACCCGGGGUUCCAGCAGCAUCCUGCAGCUCAGUAACGUCACCUGGAGGAAUUCUGGAAGAUACACCUGUGAGGAGACAUCUUCCUAUCAGAGCAGACACGUGGACGUGUUUAUUCCUGGACAAGGUCCAGAUGAAUGGUUAGUCCCGGUGGGUACAGGUGUGGUAAUGAAGGAGGUGGAGGAAGUUACCAUCCCCUGUGUCGUGUCCAACCCCCAGCUCAGCGUCCUGUUGCUCGAACGUCCCAGCAGGACGCCAGUUACUGGGACGUACGAGCCGGGCCGUGGCUUCACAGGUCGUCUGAACGACACUUCAUACGUGUGCUUGGCUUCCCAUGGAGGUGAGGAGAGAGAGUCCCAGGUGUACUACGUCUUCAGCAUUGUAGUGCCUCAUGUGAUGGAUGUGGACCUGUCUGUCUCCAGCAGUGUGUUGAAACAGGGGGAGGUUCUCAUAGUCAACUGUACAGUUAAAGAUUUAGAGAACGUUUAUUUCUCCUGGACCUUCCCCCGCAGACAGGAAGUUGAACCUCUUACGGACUUGCUGCCCAAUCAGAUUCGCUCCUUCGUUAACAUCUCCACAACAACAGUGGCAGACUCAGGUGUGUAUGAGUGUGAAGUUCAGGAGAGGACACGAGAUCAAAGAGUGACGAAGAACAUCACAGUCACUGUACUGGAGCGAGGCUAUGUCUACCUGUGGCCGUCAGGUGACACCAGCGUGUCAUCUCUCCUCCACCACACGGUGGCGCUCACUGUGGAAAUCGAUGCGUACCCGACUCCAACUGUCACCUGGACCAGACACAACCAGACUGCUGCCAUGGAGACCUCCUCCAUUACAACCACACACCUGACAGGCUGCAGGUAUGAGACCACACUAACGCUGGUUCGAGUCCCGAUGGAUCAGACAGGAAGUUAUACAGCAACUGUUUCCAACGACGACGGCAUCGAGGAGGUCGUCUUCAACCUCGAGGUCAAAGCACCCCCCAGGAUCACGUCUCUGUCAGAGGUCAGCAGUAAGGCAGUGUUGUGUGUCAGCGAGGGAGCUCCGCCCCCUUCUGUCACUUGGAACAUAUGUAACACCUCACACAGAUGCAGUAAUGUGACAGGGGGCUGGACGAGCCUAUCAGCAGCCUCGGAGGGCGUGUCCCUGCAGGAGAACGUCAGUGAGGUUGAAAGAGGAGUCACCCAGGUUCACAGUAAGUUGACUCUACAGGCUCUCACCUCUCUGUCAGCUGUUCGAUGUGAAGCAAAAAACUCGGUAGGACGACGUGUCAGAGACCUGAGACUCCUGUCGCCCUCUCUCCUGUCUCAGGUUGCUGUAUUAGCAGCAGUUCUGGUUUUGGUUAUCAUCACUGUCUUCUUCCUCAUCGUUCUCAUUGUCCUCUGGAGAAAGAAGCCUCGGUAUGAAGCUGGUUGGAAGCUGGUCGAGUCUGUGAGUCCUGACGGACAGAAGCUCACCUACCUUGACCCCUCCCACCUGCCCUACAAUGCUUUCUGGGAAAUACCACGAGAAGACAUUGUACUAGGUCAGGUGUUGGGUUCAGGUGCGUUCGGUCGAGUCGUUGAAGGAAAAGUUUCUGAUUUGAUUGAUUCGAAUUCUACGACAAAAGCAGCUGUGAAGAUGCUCAAGAAAAACAGUGGAGCAGUUCAGUCUUUGAUGACCGAGAUGAAGGUUCUCGUUCAUCUCGGUCCUCACAUGAACAUUGUCAACCCGCUGGGAGCGUGCACGAGAGGAGGACCUGUCUAUCUGAUCACUGAGUUCUGUCGUCAUGGAGACUUGGUUAACUUCCUGCAGAGAAACAAACACAACUUCUUGCUGAGUGACCCACACAUCAAGAGUGACAGUGAUGGAGGUUAUAUGGACAUGAAUAAAGAGAGAGGGAGCGCUCAGGGCGUCGCCAUGAACGAGCUGAGCUGCACCGACAUCGAACUGGCGCCCGACGAGUCGCCCGACGAGUCACUGUACGCAGCACCAGACCAGCAGGAGGCGUCCUCUCUCCUCCUCAAUGACUCUCCUCUCCUAAGCCUCAAUGACCUCCUGAGCUUCUCUUACCAGAUCUCUCAAGCCAUGGACUUCCUCUCCACCAGAAACUGCGUCCACAGAGACCUGGCAGCAAGGAACGUCCUGGUCUGCGAGGGAAAGCUGGUGAAGGUCUGUGACUUUGGUUUGGCACGGAACCCGAUGAAGGACCAGGACUACAUCGCCAGAGGAAACAGCUUCCUGCCGCUCAAGUGGAUGUCUCCAGAGAGCAUCUUCCAGAGCAUCUACAGCUGCCAGAGUGACGUGUGGUCCUACGGAGUCUUACUGUGGGAGAUCUUCUCUCUGGGUGAGAGCCCCCCCGACCUCCCCGGGACCCACGAGUUGUCCUCUGCUCUGAAGAGAGGAACCAGGAUGAGCCGACCGGAACACGCUCCGCAUCACAUCUUCCAGCUGAUGACACGUUGCUGGGAGGCGGAGCCUCAGCUUAGACCGUCCUUCUCUUCUCUCAUCGUCUCCAUUGGAAACUUGUUGUCUGAAGAACACAACAAGCGUUACAUCCGGCUCACAAAGAACUUCCUGAAGGAUCCAGCUGUUGUUCGAUCAAGACAGAGUCUAAUCAGAUCGGCUGAGGACCAGACAGACACACAAGGAAGCCCCGCCCUUCCUGUGAAACGUCACAUGACAGAAGCGGGGCUGGAGGAGGCGGGGCCGGAGGAGGCGGGCCCCUCCCACGGUACUUACAUCAUACCCAUCUCUGACAUCACCAUAGAGACAAGUGGCAGCGCUGCGCUGGACGCAGCCAGCCUCCAUCGCUCAGAUACACCACAACCACAGGAAGUGACAUCAUCAGAGGGUAAACAGGAAGCUGAAGAUGAGGAGAGCUGCCUGUGAGGCUUCUGAUGCCUGACAGACAGAGCAGAGGGUCAAAAACCACCUUCUCUCAAGCCCAGAUGUUUUACCAGAUGUUCUUCCUGCAUUCAGCAUCUGGAACGUUUCUUUUUUUCUGGAUGUUUGUUCUGCUCAGAUUUUUUGUUUGAUCCUCGGCUCUGCUGUCAGUCAAACUGUCUAUGUAGGUGAUUGGUCAUUUGCAGUAUCCCCCCCCCCCCCCUUUUAUGUGCAUGCGCUCAUAUCUAGAGAAAACCUGAGUUAAUUGAAGUAGUUGCUAACGAGCGUCAUGUGACCGUUAAGCCAGACUCUGUUUGUUGGGUGAAGUCAAGCCGCCUAACGUAAAGUUGUCCUGGAUCUGUUUAACUCGCUUCGUAGAACAGGCGCCUGGAGUUCAUCAGGUCCUGGAUCAGAUCUGAAACUUUUUUAUUCUUCAAUUAUCCUGUAUCAAGUUUACCUAUUAACUGAAUAUUUUUAUUAAACAAGAAGAAACAAAGUCUGAGUCUGUUUUUAUGUUUGAAAUAAACACGUCUCCACUUCCAGUAAAACAUGAAGCUAAAGUAUCUCAGAGAAAACGCUGCCAUCUUGUGGUGAUGACGUGUUUUACAGUCAGAGUCUGUGCAGUUGAGCUGUGGUAUCAAGGUCCCGCCCAUACACCGUUUCGACCAAUCGUGAGUCAGUGUCAGCUGUCAAUCAUGACGUCUCAGCCUGUUUUUAAAUCAUCAAAAAACGAAUUAAAACCAAACUGAUCAGAAACACUUGAACAAACAUCAGAGAGAAAAGAACGAACCACUAAAUCCUGACUGACAGACAGACAGACAGACAGACAGACAGACUGACUGACAGACAGACAGACUGACAGACUGACAGACAGACAGACAUAGAGACAGACAGGCAGACAGACAGACAGGCAGACAGACAGACAUUGAUCUUGUUGCGUUUCAGGAAGUUUCCUUCAGAUUCAGUUUGACCUCAACUGAAGAACAUCUCAGAGAGAGAGAGAGAGAGAGAUGUUGCUCCAUUCUGUGUUACUGUUGAUCGCCCUCAGCUGCUGCUGCUCUGCUGCAGGUGAUCACCAUGACAACGGACCUAAACCCAUGAUGAUGGGCGCGGCUCAGUCUCCUGACCAAUCACAUGACAACCCCACUGCUCCAAGCUCCGCCUCCAGACAGGAGGAUCCACAGGCGGACGCCAUGUGGAGGUCAAAGGUCCUGGACCUGCUGACAGAGCUGGUCCUGGUCCAGAGGGAGGCCGCCAAACAUCAGGGCGAGGUGGUCCAGCUGCUCGGAAUGCUGGGAACUCAGGGUUCUCAGCAGAUCCAGGAUCUGCAGAACGUAGCUCGUCACCAGAGUCUGCUUGUUGAAAACCAUCAGGCUUUGCUGCUGCAGACGUCUCGGAUUGCCACCCACUUGCACGACAUCACCAAGAAACCUGCGGCUGCCGUCCAAUGAGAUCCUGUGAUUCUCCGUAGAUGGCCAAUGAAAUUAUCUCUUUGAAAUGACAGUGAUAUAAGUUGAAAACCAACCAAAAAGGUUAAACUGUACACAAUGAAUCAAACAAUGAUUUUGAGAAUUCUUUCUUCUACUAAUUAACCAGUGAGAUUGUUAAUGAUUAAUCCAGGUACUGACUGAUUGACCUGUUAAUAGGGUUAGGGUUAAUCAGCCCGUUGACGAUGAUGAUUUGUCGUAUGAGUCUAAUGUUCACUUUAUACGUAUAUAAAACAUGUAUGUAGAACAUUUCUCUUACAUGAAUGUACAAUCCCUGUUUUAUUACAGUUAUAUUCAGUUACUGACAUCAGAGCAGUUCUCUCAUUGGCUGAUUUUAUUUCCUCGAUGAUUUCACUUUAAUCAGAUGUUAUCUAGUGUUGUCCUCUGAUAUGAAAUAAAGUUGUGUCAUCAUCAUC